rnacentral:rRNA from 1 species
AGCGAACGCUGGCGGCAGGCCUAACACAUGCAAGUCGAACGAACUCUUCGGAGUUAGUGGCGGACGGGUGAGUAACACGUGGGGACGUGCCUUUAGGUUCGGAAUAACUCAGGGAAACUUGAGCUAAUACCGGAUGUGCCCUUCGGGGGAAAGAUUUAUCGCCUUUAGAGCGGCCCGCGUCUGAUUAGCUAGUUGGUGAGGUAAAGGCUCACCAAGGCGACGAUCAGUAGCUGGUCUGAGAGGAUGAUCAGCCACAUUGGGACUGAGACACGGCCCAAACUCCUACGGGAGGCAGCAGUGGGGAAUCUUGCGCAAUGGGCGAAAGCCUGACGCAGCCAUGCCGCGUGAAUGAUGAAGGUCUUAGGAUUGUAAAAUUCUUUCACCGGGGACGAUAAUGACGGUACCCGGAGAAGAAGCCCCGGCUAACUUCGUG